UACAGUUUUUUGAAUUCCGGGGUGUAA
rnacentral:piRNA from 1 species